rnacentral:rRNA from 1 species
UUUGAGGUGAGAUGCCGUAGCGAGCCUAUAAGGCGUAAGUGAGUUGAGCCUUGUUGCCAAGAAAAGCUUCUAAACGAUGAAACUUGAGUGCCUGUACCGCAAACCGACUCUGGUAGAUGGGUAGAAUAUACCAAGGCGAACGGGAGAACCCUUGUUAAGGAACUAGGCAAUUUAGCCACGUAACUUCGGGAUAAGUGGUGCCCUCUGGCGUGAACGAAAGUGAGCGUAGGAGGGUCGCAGUGAAAUGGUUCUAGGGACUGGUUACCAAAACCACAGGUCUCUGCAAAGUCGUAAGACGAUGUAUAGGGGCUGACACCUGCCCAGUGCCGGAAGGUUAAAGGGAGGGGUUAGGCGCAAGCCGAAGCUCUGAACUGAAGCCCCGGUGAACGGCGGCCGUAACUAUAACGGUCCUAAGGUAGCGAAAUUCCUUGUCGGGUAAGUUCCGACCCGCACGAAAGGUGUAACAACUAGAACAGUGUCUCAACAAGGGACCCGGCGAAAUUGAAAUGGCCGUGAAGAUGCGGCCUACCCGCAGUAGGACAAAAAGACCCCGUGGAGCUUUACUGCAGCUUGGCAUUGAGUUUGGAUUUCGUUUGUGUAGGAUAGGUGGGAGGCUAUGAAGCUAGGGCGCCAGCCUUGGUGGAGCCACCCGUGAAAUACCACCCUAAUGAAAUUUAGACCCUAACCCCAUACCGUCAUCCGGAUGGGGGACCGUGCCAGGUGGGCAGUUUGACUGGGGCGGUCACCUCCCAAAGUGUAACGGAGGUGCCCAAAGGUUCCCUCAGGCUGAAUGGAAACCAGCCUAAGAGUGUAAAGGCAUAAGGGAGCUUGACUGCAAGGCCAACGCGCCGAGCAGAUACGAAAGUAGGGCUUAGUGAUCCCACGGUUCCGAGUGGAAGGGCCGUGGCUCAUCGGAUAAAAGCUACCCCGGGGAUAACAGGCUAGUCAGGUCCAAGAGUUCAUAUCGACGACCUGGCUCGGCACCUCGAUGUCGGCUCAUCGCAUCCUGGGGCUGGAUAAGGUCCCAAGGGUCGGGCUGUUCGCCCGUUAAAGCGGUACGCGAGCUGGGUUCAGACCGUCGUGAGACAGGUCGGUCUCUAUCCACUGUGGGCGUAAGUGAUUUGAAAGGAUCUGUUCCUAGUACGAGAGGACCGGAAUGGACAGACCUCUGGUUUGCCAGUUGUCGUGCCAACGGCAUAGCUGGGUAGCUACGUCUGGCAAAGAUAACCGCUGAAAGCAUCUAAGUGGGAAACUUGCCUUAAGAUUAGAUCACCUUUAUCGUCAAGAUAGUAAGAUCGCAGGUAGACCACCUGCUUGAUAGGCAGAAUGUGUAAGCGCAGCAAUGCGUUGAGCUAAACUGUACUAAUGAUCGAGGGCUUCAAAC